AUGCUCUAUUGUUCCCGAUAUUAGAUCGUUUAAAUAUUUGUUGCCUUAUCUACCACACAGGAUUCGACAGUAUAUUCGAUACAUUUACCUCAAACACGUAUCUUAGUUAUAGUUUUGGAAAGUAUCGAUUAUCAAAUAAUAUCAAUAUAAUAUGGCGGUACUGAGAUCAAUGUACCCGAGUAUCUAAAUGUUUUUAAAGUGUACUUUUAAUGUUUGUUUAAAGCAUCUGAAAAUAGCUGAUUAGUUUCUUCUUGGUUUUUCGGAAAAUACAUUGUACAGUGAAAGUGACUGGUUAGUUUUGGAUUUGUAUACUUACGGACAUAGAGAGAAUUUCGAAAAACGUUCCAUAAAUAGCCACCGCAUAUUGUGUAAGAUACUGCGUGCGUGAAAAAUCGAAUAUUAACAUUUUAAAAUCAAUGUGUCUAGAGCAAAGGUUCCCAG